UACGUAGGGUGCUAGCGUUGUCCGGAUUUACUGGGUGUAAAGGGUGCUCAGGUGGAUUUGUAAGUCAGAGGUGAAAUCCCAAAGCUUAACUUUGGUGCUGCCUUUGAUACUGCAAGUCUAGAGUUUGAGAGAGGGCAAUGGAAUAUCUGGUGUAGCAGUGAAAUGCGUAGAUAUCAGGAGGAACAUCGAUGGCGAAGGCAGCCCCUUGGACCUGUACUGACGCUCAUGCACGAAAGCGUGGGGAGCAAACAGG
rnacentral:rRNA from 1 species